rnacentral:rRNA from 1 species
GGCGAACGGGUGAGUAACACGUGAGUAACCUGCCCUUGACUUUGGGAUAACUUCAGGAAACUGGGGCUAAUACCGGAUAGGAGCUCCUGCUGCAUGGUGGGGGUUGGAAAGUUUCGGCGGUUGGGGAUGGACUCGCGGCUUAUCAGCUUGUUGGUGGGGUAGUGGCUUACCAAGGCUUUGACGGGUAGCCGGCCUGAGAGGGUGGCCGGCCACAUUGGGACUGAGAUACGGCCCAG